rnacentral:hammerhead_ribozyme from 1 species
GCACUGCUGAUGAGACCCAACCAGGUCGAAACAGUUAUCCAGUGC